rnacentral:rRNA from 1 species
UAAGGGACUCAUGCGACGACGGGUAGCCGGCCUGAGAGGGCGACCGGCCACACUGGGACUGAGACACGGCCCAGACUCCUACGGGAGGCAGCAGUGGGGAAUAUUGCACAAUGGGCGAAAGCCUGAUGCAGCGACGCCGCGUGAGGGAUGACGGCCUUCGGGUUGUAAACCUCUUUCAGCAGGGAAGAAGCGAAAGUGACGGUACCUGCAGAAGAAGCGCCGGCUAACUACGUGCCAGCAGCCGCGGUAAUACGUAGGGCGCAAGCGUUGUCCGGAAUUAUUGGGCGUAAAGAGCUCGUAGGCGGCUUGUCACGUCGGAUGUGAAAGCCCGGGGCUUAACCCCGGGUCUGCAUUCGAUACGGGCUAGCUAGAGUGUGGUAGGGGAGAUCGGAAUUCCUGGUGUAGCGGUGAAAUGCGCAGAUAUCAGGAGGAACACCGGUGGCGAAGGCGGAUCUCUGGGCCAUUACUGACGCUGAGGAGCGAAAGCGUGGGGAGCGAACAGGAUUAGAUACCCUGGUAGUCCACGCCGUAAACGUUGGGAACUAGGUGUUGGCGACAUUCCACGUCGUCGGUGCCGCAGCUAACGCAUUAAGUUCCCCGCCUGGGGGAGUACGGA